rnacentral:rRNA from 1 species
UAAGAAGGGAGCUAGCGUUGUUCGGAAUCACUGGGCGUAAAGCGCACGUAGGUGGACAGUUAAGACAGGGGUGAAAGCCCGAGGCUCAACCUCGGAAUUGCCUCUGAUACUGGCUGUCUCGAGUCCGAGAGAGGUGGGUGGAAUUCCUAGUGUAGAGGUGAAAUUCGUAGAUAUUAGGAAGAACACCGGUGGCGAAGGCGGCCCACUGGCUCGGUACUGACACUGAGGUGCGAAAGCGUGGGGAGCAAACAGG